rnacentral:rRNA from 1 species
AUUGAACGCUGGCGGCAUGCCUUACACAUGCAAGUCGAACGGUAACAGGUCUUCGGAUGCUGACGAGUGGCGAACGGGUGAGUAAUACAUCGGAACGUGCCCGAUCGUGGGGGAUAACGAAGCGAAAGCUUUGCUAAUACCGCAUAAGAUCUACGGAUGAAAGCAGGGGACCGCAAGGCCUUGCGCGAACGGAGCGGCCGAUGGCAGAUUAGGUAGUUGGUGGGAUAAAAGCUUACCAAGCCGACGAUCUGUAGCUGGUCUGAGAGGACGACCAGCCACACUGGGACGGAGACGCGGCCCAGACUCCUACGGGAGGCAGCAGUGGGGAAUUUUGGACAAUGGGCGCAAGCCUGAUCCAGCCAUGCCGCGUGCAGGAUGAAGGCCUUCGGGUUGUAAACUGCUUUUGUACGGAACGAAAAGACUCUGGUUAAUACCUGGGGUCCAUGACGGUACCGUAAGAAUAAGCACCGGCUAACUACGUGCCAGCCGCCGCCGUAAGAC